rnacentral:lncRNA from 10 species
CAGAACAUGAUAACAAAGUCCAAUCAGAGUAGGCCUCCGGGCUUUCUCUUAUCCAAUCCUGGAAAGUGUAGUCCACGAACCGCAUAUGCAUAACUUCAGUACAUAAAUGGGGCUGAAGAAGAGUCAGGCUGUUCCAGGUUCUUCUGUGUCUGCUCACCGAGCUGCUCCGAGCCCGGCUUAGAGGACCAGGACAGACUGGAGGCUGUAGCCUGCUGCACCGUGGCUGGCCUCCCUGCAGUUGGUGGCGACAGACACUGUAGUGUGGCUGGAAAGGCUGGAGUACAGUGGUGUGAUCUCCCGCCUCCCAGGUUCAAGCGAUUCUCCUGCCUCGGUCUCCUGAGUAGGAGGUUUGUUACAUGGGAAUAUUGUCUGAUGUUCGGGUUUGGGGUACAAGUGAUCCCCUCACCCUGAUACUGAGCAUAGUAACCAGGAGGUUGCCCUGCCCUGCCCUGCCUUGCCUUUCUUUUCUUUUUUUUCUUUCUUUCUUCUUCUUCUUUUUUGUUUUCUUUCUUUCUUCUUCUUCUUUUUUGUUUUUUUUUUUUUGAGACAGACUCUCACUUUGUUGCCCAGGCUGGAGUGCAGUGGUGGAAUCUCAGCUCACUGCAACCUCCGGCUCCCGUGUUCGAGCAAUCCUCACCCCUCAGCUUCCCAAGUAGCUGGGAUUACAGGUGUGCACCAGCACACCUAGCUAAUUAAAAAAAAAAAAAUUGUAAAGAUGACGUCUUGCCAUGUUGCCGGUCUCAAGCUCUUGGGCUCAAACCUUCCACCUGCUACAGCCUCUUAAAGUGCUGGGAUUACAGGUGUGAGCCACCUCACCCGGCCAAACACGCCAGACACUUUGCAUUUGCUCAAUAAGGCUUCGUGGCUAUUUGAGGUUUUCAACCAUAGCCUCCC